GGUGUAGACCUUUGUUCCCCCCACCUUCCCCCCUCCCUCCCCUUGGCGGCAGGGUCCAUUUUUGGGGGUUUUGGGGGCCCUGUGUGAGGCUAGGUACGUUUUUAGGGUUCCUGUGUGAGGCUAGGUAAGUUUUUGGGGUUCUUGUGUGAGGCUAGGUACGUUUUUUGGGUCCCUGUGUGAGGCUAGGUAAGUUUUUGGGGUUCCUGUGUGAGGCUAGGUACGUUUUUAGGGUUCCUGUGUGAGGCUAGGUACUUUUUGGGGGCCCUGUGUGAGGCUAGGUAAGUUUUUGGGGUUCCUGUGUGAGGCUAGGUACUUUUUUGGGGGCCCUGUGUGAGGCUAGGUAAGUUUUUGGGUCCCUGUGUGAGGCUACGUAAGUUUCUGGGACCUUUUGUGAGGCUAGUUUUUGGGACCCAACCAAACCAAACUUAUUCUAACCCAGGCCAGCCUAGCCCAACCAAUUCUAACCCAGCCCAGCCUAGCCCACCCCAGCCUAACGCAACCCUUCCUAACCCAACCCAGCCUAACGUAACCCUUCCUAGCCCAACCCAGCCUAACGCAACCCUUCCUAACCCAGCCUAACGCAACCCUUCCUAACCCAACCCAGCCUAACGCAACCCUUCCUAACCCAGCCUAACGCAACCCUUCCUAACCCAACCCAGCCUAACGCAACCCUUCCUAACCCAGCCUAACGCAACCCUUCCUAACCCAGCUCCCCGACACACAC